rnacentral:rRNA from 1 species
UCUAAAACCAUACCACCCUGAAUGCACCCUAUCUUCUCAAUUUUAGAAGCUAAUCGAGGUCAGGUCUGAUUAGUACUUGAAUCACAGAGAUGAUAGGUAGGUAAACAGAUGAUAGAU